UAUAGAUGACAAAAAGGUGAACUUUCAUGGC
rnacentral:piRNA from 1 species